GAGAUAAGCGCCGCUCUUUCCAGACUUCACAAGGCAGUGGGGGUGCGGGGCGAGGUGUGGACGUGACCAGAGGCACCGGGCAUCCCUCCUCGCUUUCAGUGUUCGAAGCUGGAACUACCAACCACGCUCCUGUGUUCUCAGCAGGUUUGGAGGACUCCCUAGCCAUCUCACAAAAGAAAUGAAUGAAAAGAAAAACUGAAAAAAAGAAAAAACCAUGGCACUCUAUGCUGGAUCCACUAAAACUCAUCUUCCUGAAGACACUUCUACAACAUGGGACGUUGUUCAUAUACUAAUAAGAAUAGGAAGCAAGUUACAAAACCAUAUAUGCACGACAUGAACUCAACUUAGAGGGGAACCCAUGUAUUCGCGGAGAAAAGAUCUGAUGGGAAAACCUCAAAAAUGUCAACAGCAAUUCUUCUCCUUUGUAUACUCUUAAGUGAUACCCCAAUUUUCACAAUGAACAGGUGUUAAUUUUCUAGUUUUAAUAGGAAACCAAUAUAUGUUAUGUAAAUUCUCUGCAGAAAGGUCUGACGUAAGACUUACCAUGUUACUUCCAAUAAUCAGGAUCGGGUGUGGGAAACGGAAGCCCCUCAAGGCACUUCCAGGAAAGGUAUCACAUAGAGGGGAUUAGGAGUCUGCUGUGCUCUGGGAAGGCUAGAGGAGCCGGACCCAUUUGUAGGAGGGCACACCGCUGUGGCUCUGAUUCAAAAGUCAUGUCGAGGCCACCACAGCCACAUGCACCUGUCACACCCAUGAAGCAUCUCGAGCUAUUGCUAUAGGUUGUGGGGGGCCCCAGACAGCUACAGCCUCCGUAUCAGUCCCGCCUCGUAGAUCACACGAAUGCCUCUGCUCUGUGCACCCAGGUGUAGGAGUCUGGUGAGUGGAGGUUAGAGCAUUGUGGCCCCUGCACACCGUCCCUGGGGAUUCUGCUCCAGGGGGUUGGAAAGGAGGUGACCGAGAGAGCCAGCUUUCCCUUUGUACUUUAUACCCUGCGGAUGUAAAGCCAGGGCUAGCGUAACAGACUACUAUAGACCGGGCGACUUAAGCAACAGAAACGUAUCAUCUCAGCGCUGGAGGCUGGAAGUCCAAGAUCAAGGCAUCUCGGCAGCAUGGGUCCUUUCUGAGGCCAUAGGGAGAAUCUGUUCCGGGCCUCUCUCAGUGGAUUAUAGAUGGCUGUGCCUUCACGGGGUCUUCCCUCUGUGCGUAUCUCUGCAGUCACACUUUCUGUUUUAUAAAGACAUAUAUAAAUGUCUUUUAUGGAUUAUGGAGUGGAUCAGGGGCUACCCACUCCAGUAUGACCUCAUCUUAACCAAGGACACCUACAUUGACCCUGUUUCCAAAUCAGCUCACAUUCUGACAUACUGGGGAUUAGGACACAGGAAUCUGCGAGGGGAACACAAUUCAGCCCAUAACCAUGCGUUCAAGCUUCUUACUAAAAGCAUGUAUAAUGGAGGGCAAAAGGAACCCCAAGAUUCUCUGUGGAUAAAUCAUGGAGACUUUGACAAUGUGCUGUUCUGGGAUGGGCGUUGUGGAGGCUGGGACGCUGGGGAAAUGGGCAAGGCCAAAGGCCACAGAGGUCAACUUUCUGAGAAUAUUCUUCCAGGUGAUCGCUCUGUUGGCAGCAGAACGGAAGAACUGACAUAAAACCCCAUCUGCCUUCUGCACCGCCAAGGGGUUUCAUUUUGUGUGGGGGGACCCCCCGCACUGUCUGUCCUGUCUCUUUUUACCUUCUCUGGUAGAAUCCAGCUGCCAUCUGGCUGGACUCACAUUGGAGGGGGAGGAGGGGGGCCAGUCCCUGGGGCCUGGGGCUCCCACAUCCCUUUAUUAUGCUGGGUCUGGCUUUGAGCCUAGGAAAGCUUUGGGAGAACAGGCAGAGGCCCUGCAAGAAGGUCCCGUCUUGCUCUGAUCUGGCAGAGACCCGGCUUCGGAGUGGGGACACAUGCCUGCCUUCCUCGUGGAGCUGCCGCAGGGUCGCUGCUCCAGGGGCAAUGGGAUGUGGCUCCCGAGAGGCCGACCUCGGGAGGGCCCAGGCUCCCUCCACCCUGCUGGGAUCGUCCCCUUGAAUGAUAAGCGGUCAUCCGUGGCCAGAGGGUCGGAGCGGAGCCUUGUGGCUCCCAGCGAGAGUUUCUGGUUUCCCUUCCAGCGGGUGUUGGCCGGGACUGCACGGAUGCCUUUGUCCCUGCUGGUUGCUCCGAAGCUUGGAUUCCAUCCCUGGCCAGGCCCCAGAGAUGCCGGCUGGUUUUCUCCAGCAGAAGAAGCUGUUCUUUCUGUGUCUGCAGAUGGUCCUGUUGCAAGCACCUCGGUCAGGCUGGUUCUGGAAGAGCAAGCUAAAAUGAGCAGACGUUCGCCUUCCUUUGAGAGGGUGCUGCUGGCUGGGUUGGAAAUGGCCUUGGGGUUAGUGGGGGUCUGUUCAGCACUUCUCUGGGGAUCGUACAUCCUGUCCCCUCCAUGCCUUGCUUCUCUCUCUUCCUCCCCCUUCCUCCUCUUAGCCCUAUGGACACCGCCACACAGCCUUCCACUUGCCUCCGGCACAACCCUGCUCCAAAACCUUUGAUGGCUCCCUCUUGCCUAAAGUGGUGUUUCUCAAACUGUGUGCCUCGGACUUGUUUGUAGCUCAUAAAAGAUCACCCCUCCCAGCUCUCAUCCCAGACCCAGCAAUCAGGUCUCCAGUCGGGGAGCCCAAGAACUUUAACUUGCUUCUUAGGUGACUUUUGUUUUAAAUUUGUAUAUUUAAAAAAUAUUGUGGUAAAACACACAUAAUAUACAAUUUACCACUUUAGCCAUUUUUAAGCGUACAGUUCAGUGGACUUAAGUACUAGUAUGGGCUGAAUGUUUGUGUCCUCCCCGAAUCCAGAUGUUGAAGACCCAACCUCCGUUGGGAUGGUAUUUGGAGGUGGGGCUCUUGGGAGGUGCUUAGGUUUAGAUGAGGUCAGGAGGGUGGGGAUCUCAUGAUGAGAUUAGUGCCCUUCUGAGAAGAGAAGAGAGGAUCUCUCUUUCUCUGUGAGCACCCACCAAAGAAAGGCCAUGGGAACGCACAGUGUUAGAAGACAACUUUCACCAGACCCUGUCCGCUCUGACACCUGCUCUUGGAUUUCCAUCCUUCAGAGCUGAGAAAGUAAGGGGCUGAGGUUUGCGUCACCCAGGCUGGUAUUCUGGAAUGGCAGCCUGAGGGCCUGAGACAAGUCUGUUCACACCCCAAGAUGUUGCCUCCAUUGCAACCAGUCAUCCCCGGAACUUUUCAUCUCCCCCAUCUGAAACUCUGCCUAGUAAACACUCACUCCCCCUUCCCUCCCUCUGCCCCUUCUUCUUCCUGUCUCUAUGAAUUUGACAACUCGAGGACCUCACAUAAGCAGAACCAUACAAUCUUUGUCCUCUGUGACUGGCUGAUUUCACGUAUCCUUGUGUUCUCCCGGUUCAUCCAUGUUGUAGCCUGUGUCCAAAUGAUCUUUCUUCUUAAAACUGAAUAAGCUUCCACUGUUUGUAGAGACUACAUUUUGUUUAUCCGGUCAUCAGACGAUGACACUUGGGUUGCUUACACAUUUUGGCUAUUGGGAAUGAUGCUGCUGUAAACACGGAUAUACAAACAGUUCUUCCAGACCCUGCCUUCAGUUCUUUCGGGCAGAUAUCUGGAAGUGGAAUUGCCGGAUCAUAUGGUAAUUUUAUUUUUAAGAUUUCCUACAAACUGUCAUUCCGCAGUGGCUGCGCCAUUUUGCAUUCCCACCCACGGUGUGUGAGUGUUGCAAUGUCCCCACAUCCUCACUGAUACUUGUUAUUUUCUGUUUAGUUUGUUUGUUUGGUUAGUUGGUUAAUUAUUUGGGGUUUUUUUGGUAAUAGUGAUCCUAAUGGGUAUGAAGUGAUAUCUCACUGUAGUUUCGAUUUACAUUUCUCUGAUGAUGAGUGAUGUUGAGAACUUUUUCAUGGGUUUACUGUUCAUUUGUAUAUUUUCUUUUUUUUUAAGAUUUUAUUUAUUUGAGAAAGGGAGAGAGAGAGCAUGAGAAGGGGGAGCAGCAGAUGGAGAGGGAGAAGCAGGCUCCUGAUGAGCAGGGAGCCUGAUGCAAGGCUCCAUCCCAGGACCCUGGGAUCGUGGCUUGAGCCGAAGGCAGACGCUUAACCAACUGAGCUACCCAGGGUGAGUCUUUACGAGAAAAACGAUCCUUGUGGUGGCUGGUGUGAACUUGGAAGGGAGACAUCUAGCAUCCCACAUUCCCCACCCACACCUUGGGGCAGCCUUGGGCAGAGGUCCAGCCCCAGCCAAGGAACGUGUCCUCUGCAGGGACUUACGGAGGGAGGGUGUGAAAAGGUGAGUAACUGUGGAAAACAUGAGCUGGUGUCUCCCUGUUGUGGGUUUCAAGUGUGUGGCUUUUUCUUUUCGCAGCUGUGCUCUCCCUAGAGGGUUUCCCACCCCCAGCCCAGGAAGGGGAAGCCACCCCCGGGUGUCAGAAAGGGCUGGGUCGCUCCCAUGGGGAACCACUGGCCUUUAUGUUUCAGUCCCUUAGAACAGGAUGGAGGGUGGUGCCUUGAGUCAGAGGUUUUGGGGAAUGUCCUGGCCACCCUGAGAGAGGGGAAGGAGAUGGAGUCCUGUUUAGUGGUGAGUCCAGCACCCUGAACAAGCCACCCCCAGACAACAUUUCCUCUGGGUAGUGGGGGUUCAGGGGGACCAAGUCCCCACACCUAUGUAGUUGGGGCUUGUACCGUAUGAACGAGUUCCGGUGUGACUUUCUCAAAGACAAUUUUUUUUCUUAAGUGUAAAACUUUUUAUUUGAAAAACAAGGAAAUGUCUCUUGCACCCAGGUAUUACGGAGCAAGUUCUGAGGUGCUACACGUUAAUAUGCCAGGAGAUCAUGUGGUAUCUUUCACUGCUUUGCGACCACUUGCUAUGUACUUGGGCCAUUAAUUUGGGGAUGUUCCUGUCCCAUCUCCCCAGUCGUGCUUUUCGAGUCCUGCUUCUGCUGCUCUGAAUUGCCCACAGCAUCGAGAGUCCAGCCUAGGAGAAGUGCUCACAAGGGUGAAAUUAGCAAUAAUAGUAAUAGCUAAUAACAUUUAUGGUGGGCUUUGUGUGAGUCAGGGGCUAGUUUAUUUUUUUUUUAAAGAUUUUAUUUAUUGGGCGCC